rnacentral:lncRNA from 1 species
AUGCCCAAUCGAGGAGGAAUUCUACACUAUCACACUUGCACCACGCCAUCAGUAACAAGACAAUCAUCUUUAUUUUUUUCAAAUAAAAGUAUAAUAAAAAUACUUUUUUAUAAUCAUUAUGUGACAUAUAUUUCUAAAAGGAGAUUUUUGAUUGAUUUGUUACGCCACGUUAUCAAUAAACCCGUUGUAUUCUAGAAUUUUUCCCAAUCAAC